AACAAGAAGAGACAGAGAAGGUUAUCUUAAUUAACUCGUCUUUGAAAAGCAUGGAGUGGAUACACUGAAACGCUGCAUUUUCACAAUAUUUUCAGGUGUAUUAAGGAGUAGCAUUUUGCGUUUCAUCUCAGAGUCUCUGUUUUUAUUCAAACUGCUUCCUGGAAACGGUUCCAAAUUGAGAUUUACUUGCUCAAACCGCUCGCGCUUCAUGACAACAAGUCUUUAACUUCCGAGAUUUGGAGACAGGCAGAGAUUUCGCAUGUUUGCACAUCCUCGCCGAUCAACCAAGCUUUUUUUCAUUUUUUUUUUUCUCCUUGGUCGUUUUCAAAGCUUGUAUGUCGUCCACAGAUGUGUUCCAUUAAAAUGAAUCAAACACAAAUAAUUCAACGGUGAGCGGACAUCGGAAAGUGAGAGCACUAACGUGUGAAAGCCCAACAAACAACUCACUGGCUUCCUGAGACUCUGGCAUGUGAUCGAAAAAAGGGAAAAAAGAGCUGCUCGACUCUGUGCCAGGAAUCCUUUUCCGUUUUUGCCAAAAACUGAGCUCAUUCCAGUGGGCUAUCCCUGUGUAGGCUGGCUGCUGCUUCUCAGACGGAGGUACACGCACAGAUGCCUGCAAAUAUGGCUUCCACCAGCUGCCGCUGAUUGAAUACAAAGCUGGGAUUCUACCCCCUAAAACACAACAAGGAAACACAAAAUGGCGUCCUGCACAUCGGCCAUUUUAGUUCUGCUUAAAAACACUAUAAGGUCUACCUUUCAGGGUUUUUUUUUUUUUUUUUUUUUCUGAGCCCGCUGUCUCUUGAUGAAGAAAGAGCAGCUGUUCUAUCGGCAGUGAUGGAGAAUCCAUCUUGUGCCAAGCACUGAGAUGAAGCCAACAGACCCAGACGACACGCUCUAUCACGUGUACCGAGUCAAAGAGAAACUCUAAUAUUACUUAUCAGACAGCUGGACAGUUCACAGAGGAAAAAAAAAAAAAAAAAGAAGCAUGAUCACAUUCAGCAUGUCGCUGCAAACUUCCAAAAGCGCUCUCACUGAGCGAGCGGGCUCUGCUCAAAUCUUCAAAUCAUCGUUCCCUGUCAACUUUUUUUAAUUAAAGUUAUCAUGAGACUGAUGCUCAUCCUCGAGUCGCUUACUGCUUAACUGCUGCUAAACAUGGGACAAAGGCAGCUACUGGCCCGGGAGGUUAACAUGGCAGCAACUGAGGGGUUAAUGAGUGCCAGACUAAAUGCCAGACCUGGGCCUCAGACAGAUAGAGAAGGGGUAAGAAGGUACACUGCUUGCAUAAAUUAGCAUAUAGCCACGACCCCUGAGACUGGGUCCAGACCAGCCCAUAGUUAGCAUGCAGCAGACCCUACAGAGGGCCAGACAGACAGAGUGGGGUGGGGGGGUGCGUUGGCGUAACGCCCAACUCUGCCACCGUGCCAGUGACAGAUCUAUGAGCUGUUCAGUCGCCAAGAAUCGUCCCGUGACUGGAGCUGAGGUUUGGAGGGCAAAGGGAAACAGACAAAUAAUGACAUGACACAGUGGACCAGAGGAAACGGGUCAAAAUUAAGAUUUAACAGAACAUCUGACCACGGUAAAAAAGCAAAACAAAAUAGAUUUAAACAUUAAAAGCUUGCGGCGAAUUCUGGGCUUCUGGGUUAGCAGCUGUUUCGGAAACGCCGGGGCCAAACUCGGUCAGUCAUGUGAGCUCUAUUUUCUCUCCCCGCAUUUUCGAUGGCGCAUAAAAGGGGCACGCACGGCUCGGCCGGGGCAAAUAAUUUUCCCUUGUCAACAGCUCCAAAAUAAAUGCAUUUCGAGGGGCCGUGGGGCAGAUGACAGGAUCUUGGAGAACAGACGAGGAAAGGAAGAAACGUGGCCCACUGAGUUAAUUUCAUCUGCCCAUCGGGCCGUCUGUACAUCUGCCACGGCAGAAUUAUGGCUAAACGUGCUGCAUGUCUGCACCGUCCCUCUACCCUUUGGCAUCUUUCCCAGGUUUCCCUUGGCUUUCUCACACCAGCACAAGAGUCGAACGCCAAUGCGGAGCUUGGACCAGCAAG